CAGCAGCCGCGGGAAUACGUAGGUGGCAAGCGUUGUCCGGAUUUAUUGGGCGUAAAGCGAGCGCAGGCGGUUUCUUAAGUCUGAUGUGAAAGCCCCCGGCUCAACCGGGGAGGGUCAUUGGAAACUGGGAGACUUGAGUGCAGAAGAGGAGAGUGGAAUUCCAUGUGUAGCGGUGAAAUGCGUAGAUAUAUGGAGGAACACCAGUGGCGAAGGCGGCUCUCUGGUCUGUAACUGACGCUGAGGCUCGAAAGCGUGGGGAGCGAACAGGAUUAGAUACCCCGGUAGUCCCUGUCUCUUAUAC
rnacentral:rRNA from 1 species